AUUGAACGCUGGCGGCAUGCCUUACACAUGCAAGUCGAACGGCAGCGCGGGGCAACCUGGCGGCGAGUGGCGAACGGGUGAGUAAUAUAUCGGAACGUACCCUGGAGUGGGGGAUAACGUAGCGAAAGUUACGCUAAUACCGCAUACGAUCUAAGGAUGAAAGUGGGGGAUCGCAAGACCUCACGCGAUUAGAUGAGCCG
rnacentral:rRNA from 1 species